rnacentral:rRNA from 1 species
UACGUAGGGGCAAGCGUUAUCCGGAUUUACUGGGUGUAAAGGGAGCGCAGACGGCAGUGCAAGUCUGAUGUGAAAGCCCGGGGCUCAACCCCGGAACUGCAUUGGAAACUGUACAGCUCGAGUGUCGGAGAGGUAAGCGGAAUUCCUAGUGUAGCGGUGAAAUGCGUAGAUAUUAGGAGGAACACCGGUGGCGAAGGCGGCUUACUGGACGAUGACUGACGUUGAGGCUUGAAAGCGUGGGGAGCAAACAGGAUUAGAUACCCUGGUAGU